UGAAUACGAGAUGCUACGGCGUCGAAGCAGUCUAUGUCAUACUUCCAAGAAAAGCUUGCACUGUCAUAAACAAAUAAUGCCUGUACCAUAACCGACACAGGUGGGUAGGUAGAGUAUACUAAGGGGCGCGAGAUAACUCUCUCUAAGGAACUCGGCAAAAUGACUCCGUAACUUCGGGAGAAGGAGUGCCUUAUUUAUAAGGUUGCAAUAACAAGACCCAAGCAACUGUUUAUCAAAAACACAGGUCUCCGCUAAGUCGUAAGACGAUGUAUGGGGGCUGACGCCUGCCCAGUGCCAGAAGGUUAAAGAAGUUGGUUAGCAUUAGCGAAGCUGAUGACUGAAGCCCUGGUGAACGGCGGCCGUAACGAUAACGGUCCUAAGGUAGCGAAAUUCCUUGUCGGGUAAGUUCCGACCCGCACGAAAGGCGUAAUGAUUUGGGUACUGUCUCAGAGAGGGACUCGGUGAAAUAGACUUGUCUGUGAAGAUGCGGACUACCUGCACCUGGACAGAAAGACCCUAUGAAGCUUUACUGUAACCUGAAAUUGAAAUUGGACUUUAUUUGCGCAGUAUAGGUGGGAGGCUUUGAAGAUAUUCUUGCGGGAAUGUUGGAGCCAUCAGUGAGAUACCACUCUUGUAAUGUUAGAUUUCUAACUUUGUAUCAUUAUCUGGUCAAAGAACAGUUUCAGGCGGGCAGUUUGACUGGGGCGGUCGCCUCCUAAACGGUAACGGAGGCGCACAAAGGUUUCCUCUGAACGGGUAGAAAUCGUAUCUAGAGUGUAAAGGCAUAAGGAAGCUUGACUGUGAGACCUACAAGUCGAGCAGGGACGAAAGUCGGUCUUAGUGAUCUGACGGUGCUGAGUGGAAAGGCCGUCACUCAACGGAUAAAAGUUACUCUAGGGAUAACAGGCUGAUCUCCCCCAAGAGUUCACAUCGACGGGGAGGUUUGGCACCUCGAUGUCGGUUCAUCGCAUCCUGGGGCGGUAGUACGUCCCAAGGGUUGGGCUGUUCGCCCAUGAAAGCGGUACGCGAGCUGGGUUCAGAACGUCGUGAGACAGUUCGGUCCAUAUCCGGUGUAGGCGUUAGAAUAUUGAGAGGAGCCUUCUCUAGUACGAGAGGACCGAGAAGGACACACCUCUGGUGUACCAGUUAUCGUGCCAACGGUAAACGCUGGGUAGCUAUGUGUGGAGCGGAUAACCGCUGAAAGCAUCUAAGUGGGAAGCCCACCUCAAGAUAAGUAUUCUCAC
rnacentral:rRNA from 1 species